AAGCUAACGACAAGAAUGAAUUUAUAUCUUGCUUUUAAAAGAUUUUAUCACCCUCAAACCAUUACCAUUUAGUUUUUGAUUGAUAUUUAAAGUUGAUUUUAUAUAUUUUCCCCAAAUAUAUAUAUAUAUAUUGGUCAUCUUCAUUUAAUUCAUUGCAAUUUGCAAAUACUCCUACUAAAUUAAAUACAGCUUUUAAUAGCGUGAAGAUACUAUUGCUGUAGUUAUGAUCUCUUUAUAGGCAUAAUUAAUCGGGAAAACAAA
rnacentral:lncRNA from 1 species